rnacentral:rRNA from 1 species
UGAGUACGAGAUGCUACGGCAUCGAAGCAGUCUAUGUCAUACUACCAAGAAAAGCUUGCAAUGUCAUAAACAAAUAAUGCCUGUACCAUAACCGACACAGGUGGGUAGGUAGAGUAUACUAAGGGGCGCGAGAUAACUCUCUCUAAGGAACUCGGCAAAAUGACUCCGUAACUUCGGGAGAAGGAGUGCCUUAUUUUUAUAAGGUUGCAAUAACAAGAUCCAAGCAACUGUUUACCAAAAACACAGGUCUCCGCUAAGUCGUAAGACGAUGUAUGGGGGCUGACGCCUGCCCUGUGCCAGAAGGUUAAAGAAGUUGGUUAGCAUUAGCGAAGCUGAUAACUGAAGCCCUGGUGAACGGCGGCCGUAACAAUAACGGUCCUAAGGUAGCGAAAUUCCUUGUCGGGUAAGUUCCGACCCGCACGAAAGGCGUAAUGAUUUGGAUACUGUCUCGGAGAGGGGCUCGGUGAAAUAGACUUGUCUGUGAAGAUGCGGACUACCUGCACCUGGACAGAAAGACCCUAUGAAGCUUUACUGUAACUUGAGAUUGGAAUUGGACUUUAUCUGCGCAGUAUAGGUGGGAGACGUUGAAAAUAUUCUUGCGGGAAUAUUGGAGUCAUCAGUGAGAUACCACUCUUAUAAUGUUAGAUUUCUAACUUUGUAUCAUUAUCUGGUCAAAGAACAGUUUCAGGCGGGCAGUUUGACUGGGGCGGUCGCCUCCCAAACGGUAACGGAGGCGCACAAAGGUUUCCUCUGGACGUGUAGAAAUCGUAUCUAGAGUGUAAAGGCAUAAGGAAGCUUGACUGUGAGACCUACAAGUCGAGCAGGGACGAAAGUCGGUCUUAGUGAUCUGACGGUGCUGAGUGGAAAGGCCGUCACUCAACGGAUAAAAGUUACUCUAGGAUAACAGGCUGAUCUCCCCCAAGAGUUCACAUCGACGGGGAGGUUUGGCACCUCGAUGUCGGCUCAUCGCAUCCUGGGGCGGUAGUACGUCCCAAGGGUUGGGCUGUUCGCCCAUGAAAGCGGUACGCGAGCUGGGUUCAGAACGUCGUGAGACAGUUCGGUCCAUAUCCGGUGUAGGCGUUAGAAUAUUGAGAGGAGCCUUCUUUAGUACGAGAGGACCGAGAAGGACAUACCUCUGGUGUACCAGUUAUCGUGCCAACGGUAAACGCUGGGUAGCCAUGUAUGGAGAGGAUAACCGCUGAAAGCAUCUAAGUGGGAAGCCCACCUCAAGAUAAGUAUUCUCAUC